UGUGUAUAUCCUGCAAUCCAGUCACACC
rnacentral:piRNA from 1 species